AUUUAAAGGAGGACAACAAGACAGGCAGCUGGAAGAGCUUUUGAAGCAGGAAAACUUUUCUGGAUUUCUCUUAACUUAACUCUUAACACAAGUCAAGGAGGAAACAAGGAGGCAGCUUGUUGGAUUAUAUCUGAGGACAGGACGCAUGAAGGAGAAGCACGAGGAGAGAAAUAACAGCAGAAAGAUGGUGUCGAGCUAAUCGUGGAUCAAGUCGAAGAAGCAAGCGCCUAAACUUGGAUGCCCCUCCGCCCUCCACCCCUUCGGUCACUUGUCAACAAUCAGCUGAUUGCUCCCCUGCUCCCCAUGAAGUGUCUAUGCUGUCUUCUCAACAACCAGAUCAUUGUAUCACCAAGACCUUUCAGCGUUUUCGGGUCCCUGCAAUCUUCUGUGACAGAGUCUGAGUGUGCCUUCAGACAACCUGCAGGACCUCUACCCCGUCUCCUGGAGCCCACAGUGUUUAUCCUGUAUUCAUAACUAUCUGCAAAUAA